rnacentral:rRNA from 1 species
UACAGAGACUGCAAGCGUUAUUCGGAUUCACUGGGCGUAAAGGGUGCGCAGGCGGCCAAGUGUGUUAGGCGUGAAAGCCCGAGGCUUAACCUCGGAAUUGCACCUAAAACUACAUGGCUAGAGUACUGGAGAGGGUAACGGAAUUCACGGUGUAGCAGUGAAAUGCGUAGAUAUUGGGAAGAACACCGGUGGCGAAGGCGGCUAUCUGGACCGUAACUGACGCUGAGGCGCGAAGGCGUGGGGAGCAAACAGG